rnacentral:rRNA from 1 species
GUGCCAGCAGCCGCGGUAAUACGGAGGGUGCGAGCGUUAAUCGGAAUUACUGGGCGUAAAGCGCGCGUAGGUGGUUAAUUAAGUCAGAUGUGAAAUCCCAGGGCUCAACCUUGGAACUGCAUUUGAAACUGGUUAACUAGAGUUUUGUAGAGGGUGGUAGAAUUUCAGGUGUAGCGGUGAAAUGCGUAGAGAUCUGAAGGAAUACCAGUGGCGAAGGCGGCCACCUGGACAAAGACUGACACUGAGGCGCGAAGGCGUGGGGAGCAAACGGGAUUAGAUACCCCGGUAGUCC